GGUUAAGCGACUAAGCGUACACGGUGGAUGCCCUGGCAGUCAGAGGCGAUGAAGGACGUGCUAAUCUGCGAUAAGCGUCGGUAAGGUGAUAUGAACCGUUAUAACCGGCGAUUUCCGAAUGGGGAAACCCAGUGUGUUUCGACACACUAUCAUUAACUGAAUCCAUAGGUUAAUGAGGCGAACCGGGGGAACUGAAACAUCUAAGUACCCCGAGGAAAAGAAAUCAACCGAGAUUCCCCCAGUAGCGGCGAGCGAACGGGGAGCAGCCCAGAGCCUGAAUCAGUAUGUGUGUUAGUGGAAGCGUCUGGAAAGGCGCGCGAUACAGGGUGACAGCCCCGUACACAAAAAUGCACAUAUUGUGAGCUCGAUGAGUAGGGCGGGACACGUGGUAUCCUGUCUGAAUAUGGGGGGACCAUCCUCCAAGGCUAAAUACUCCUGACUGACCGAUAGUGAACCAGUACCGUGAGGGAAAGGCGAAAAGAACCCCGGCGAGGGGAGUGAAAAAGAACCUGAAACCGUGUACGUACAAGCAGUGGGAGCACGCUUAGGCGUGUGACUGCGUACCUUUUGUAUAAUGGGUCAGCGACUUAUAUUCUGUAGCAAGGUUAACCGAAUAGGGGAGCCGAAGGGAAACCGAGUCUUAACUGGGCGUUAAGUUGCAGGGUAUAGACCCGAAACCCGGUGAUCUAGCCAUGGGCAGGUUGAAGGUUGGGUAACACUAACUGGAGGACCGAACCGACUAAUGUUGAAAAAUUAGCGGAUGACUUGUGGCUGGGGGUGAAAGGCCAAUCAAACCGGGAGAUAGCUGGUUCUCCCCGAAAGCUAUUUAGGUAGCGCCUCGUGAAUUCAUCUCCGGGGGUAGAGCACUGUUUCGGCAAGGGGGUCAUCCCGACUUACCAACCCGAUGCAAACUGCGAAUACCGGAGAAUGUUAUCACGGGAGACACACGGCGGGUGCUAACGUCCGUCGUGAAGAGGGAAACAACCCAGACCGCCAGCUAAGGUCCCAAAGUCAUGGUUAAGUGGGAAACGAUGUGGGAAGGCCCAGACAGCCAGGAUGUUGGCUUAGAAGCAGCCAUCAUUUAAAGAAAGCGUAAUAGCUCACUGGUCGAGUCGGCCUGCGCGGAAGAUGUAACGGGGCUAAACCAUGCACCGAAGCUGCGGCAGCGACACUUAUGUGUUGUUGGGUAGGGGAGCGUUCUGUAAGCCUGUGAAGGUGUGCUGUGAGGCAUGCUGGAGGUAUCAGAAGUGCGAAUGCUGACAUAAGUAACGAUAAAGCGGGUGAAAAGCCCGCUCGCCGGAAGACCAAGGGUUCCUGUCCAACGUUAAUCGGGGCAGGGUGAGUCGACCCCUAAGGCGAGGCCGAAAGGCGUAGUCGAUGGGAAACAGGUUAAUAUUCCUGUACUUGGUGUUACUGCGAAGGGGGGACGGAGAAGGCUAUGUUGGCCGGGCGACGGUUGUCCCGGUUUAAGCGUGUAGGCUGGUUUUCCAGGCAAAUCCGGAAAAUCAAGGCUGAGGCGUGAUGACGAGGCACUACGGUGCUGAAGCAACAAAUGCCCUGCUUCCAGGAAAAGCCUCUAAGCAUCAGGUAACAUCAAAUCGUACCCCAAACCGACACAGGUGGUCAGGUAGAGAAUACCAAGGCGCUUGAGAGAACUCGGGUGAAGGAACUAGGCAAAAUGGUGCCGUAACUUCGGGAGAAGGCACGCUGAUAUGUAGGUGAAGUCCCUCGCGGAUGGAGCUGAAAUCAGUCGAAGAUACCAGCUGGCUGCAACUGUUUAUUAAAAACACAGCACUGUGCAAACACGAAAGUGGACGUAUACGGUGUGACGCCUGCCCGGUGCCGGAAGGUUAAUUGAUGGGGUUAGCCGCAAGGCGAAGCUCUUGAUCGAAGCCCCGGUAAACGGCGGCCGUAACUAUAACGGUCCUAAGGUAGCGAAAUUCCUUGUCGGGUAAGUUCCGACCUGCACGAAUGGCGUAAUGAUGGCCAGGCUGUCUCCACCCGAGACUCAGUGAAAUUGAACUCGCUGUGAAGAUGCAGUGUACCCGCGGCAAGACGGAAAGACCCCGUGAACCUUUACUAUAGCUUGACACUGAACAUUGAGCCUUGAUGUGUAGGAUAGGUGGGAGGCUUAGAAGUGUGGACGCCAGUCUGCAUGGAGCCGACCUUGAAAUACCACCCUUUAAUGUUUGAUGUUCUAACGUUGACCCGUAAUCCGGGUUGCGGACAGUGUCUGGUGGGUAGUUUGACUGGGGCGGUCUCCUCCUAAAGAGUAACGGAGGAGCACGAAGGUUGGCUAAUCCUGGUCGGACAUCAGGAGGUUAGUGCAAUGGCAUAAGCCAGCUUGACUGCGAGCGUGACGGCGCGAGCAGGUGCGAAAGCAGGUCAUAGUGAUCCGGUGGUUCUGAAUGGAAGGGCCAUCGCUCAACGGAUAAAAGGUACUCCGGGGAUAACAGGCUGAUACCGCCCAAGAGUUCAUAUCGACGGCGGUGUUUGGCACCUCGAUGUCGGCUCAUCACAUCCUGGGGCUGAAGUAGGUCCCAAGGGUAUGGCUGUUCGCCAUUUAAAGUGGUACGCGAGCUGGGUUUAGAACGUCGUGAGACAGUUCGGUCCCUAUCUGCCGUGGGCGCUGGAGAACUGAGGGGGGCUGCUCCUAGUACGAGAGGACCGGAGUGGACGCAUCACUGGUGUUCGGGUUGUCAUGCCAAUGGCACUGCCCGGUAGCUAAAUGCGGAAGAGAUAAGUGCUGAAAGCAUCUAAGCACGAAACUUGCCCCGAGAUGAGUUCUCCCUGACUCCUUGAGAGUCCUGAAGGAACGUUGAAGACGACGACGUUGAUAGGCCGGGUGUGUAAGCGCAGCGAUGCGUUGAGCUAACCGGUACUAAUGAACCGUGAGGCUUAACCUU
rnacentral:rRNA from 1 species